AUUGAACGCUGGCGGCAUGCUUUACACAUGCAAGUCGAACGGUAACAGGCCGCAAGGUGCUGACGAGUGGCGAACGGGUGAGUAAUGCAUCGGAACGUGCCCAGUCGUGGGGGAUAACUACUCGAAAGAGUAGCUAAUACCGCAUACGAUCUAUGGAUGAAGGCGGGGGACCGUAAGGCCUCGCGCGAUUGGAGCGGCCGAUGUCAGAUUAGGUAGUUGGUGGGGUAAAGGCUCACCAAGCCAACGAUCUGUAGCUGGUCUGAGAGGACGACCAGCCACACUGGGACUGAGACACGGCCCAGACUCCUACGGGAGGCAGCAGUGGGGAAUUUUGGACAAAGGGCGCAAGCCUGAUCCAGCAAUGCCGCGUGCAGGAAGAAGGCCUUCGGGUUGUAAACUGCUUUUGUACGGAACGAAACGGCUCUGGUUAAUACCCGGGGCUAAUGACGGUACCGUAAGAAUAAGCACCGGCUAACUACGUG
rnacentral:rRNA from 1 species